UUGUGAGCACUAAAGUCAAAUUUUUAGGUGACAUAUUAGGAUGGGUGUAAAUCAGAACUUACUUUUUUUCAAGGUUGAAUCCGUUUUUAAAUUCGGCAUUGUUUUUUAGUACAAAUUUUAAGCGUGAUGACAAAAGAAACUGACAAUGCGAGAUUGAUUUAUGAAUUUUGUAGAGCCACUUAUGAAAAAUGUUCAACUCGCGGCGAGUCUUCAGAACAGAUUUUUUUCUGUGCGACUAAGGAUAAGACGUUGGAGGGGCUAGUGAGUAUAAGGCUGUUUUACUAUUUUUGGAGGGUUACUUGAGACAAACCUUUGGCGGCGCGAAUGUAUUUAGGACUUUUUGAGCAAGUUUUAAAAAACAAUUGUGGGAUUGCAAGUGGAGAUACUCCAUCGGUAAAACAAUUAUAGAUAAGACUUUGGCGGAAGAACAUAACGUAAAACUUUGACAAUGCGACUGAAUAAGGGAUUUUUGGUAAGAUCUAAGAAAAGAUUUCGGCAGCCUACUUGAUAGGAACUUGUGCCGCACGAUUUUAGUUGAGACUUUGGCGGAGCGGCAUAAGAUCAAAGUUUACGCCGCGGCAUGACUGAAGAGAAGUGAGUUUCGCAGAUUAAUUAGAAAUCCCUUAGGGUGAUUUAUGGAGAAACAUUGAGCCGCAUCGCGACUUAUGAAUAAUCGUAUGGAAAGCGUGACCACUGAAUACUUAUGGAAAAUAGGUUUGGCGGCGUGACUGAAUACAUGACCUAGGCGGAGCGAUUUGAAAUAAAUUUUUGGCCAGAAGACUGAUUACACGGACUAUUCGAUAAGACCUAGGAAAUGACUUGGCGGGUUGACAUAAAAAUAGGACUUUGGUCGCCCGACUUAAAAUAAAAGUUGACAGCGCUAGUUACGAUGAGAUCUUGGAGGCUCGACUUGAGAUAGGUUGUAGCGGCCUGAUUGAAUAUAGGAUUUUGGCGGCGCGAUACCAGAAAGAUGACUUUGCCAUCAUAAAUUAAGAAAUUACGUAGACGACAGGACCUGAGAGAAGACUUUGGAACAAAAUGAGAAAGAUUUUGAAACGCUGCUCGACUGAAAAAAAAACCAUGAAGUCACGACAUAAAAUACGACUUGAGCUUUGCGACCUAAAAUAAAACUUGAACGGCCUGAUUGGUUAUUAGGCUUUUUCGACAAGACCUAUGAAACGACUCCGGCGGAGUCACUCGAGAUAAAAAUUUGGCGGCGUGAAUUUAUAUAAGACUUCGACUGAGCGACAAACGAUGAAACUUUACGCCGCGGCGCGACUGAUGAAAAGUAACCUUGGCAGUUUGAUCUAUGAAGACCUCAGGUUGAACUAUGAAAAAAAUGUGCCGCGCCGCAACUCAAGAGCAGAAUUUUCCGGCGCUAAUUAAGAUAAGACAUUGGAGGCGUGACUGAAUAUAUGACUUAGGCGAUGCAUGUUAAAACAAAACUUUUACGGUGCGGCUGAUUUGAAGGCUUUUCGGGAAGACCUGAGAAACAAACUCGGCGGUUUGACAUUAAAAAAAAUUUGGCCGUGCAAUUUUGUAUAAGAUUUUGGCGGCGCUACCUACGAUAAAUUUUUGGCUGCAUUACUGAAUAUAAGACUUCGGCGGCUCGACACACGAUAAGUUUUUGUGACGCGCGCGACUUAAGAAAAACUUUGGCAUCAUGAAAUAAAAAAACACCUAGUUGGCGCGACAUAAGUAAGACUUUGGAACAAUUUAAGAAUUGAAUGUCAACGUUCUCUAGUUAAGCGUGCUCUCAGAUCAAGUAAAAGUAUCCCAAUUCUUUUUUUUUGUUUAUAGAGCGGACUGGGUCAUACUGAUCUCGGUUAUUUUGGGUCCAGUUGGGAUUCUGGUACUGAUUUUCAUUCUGGCCUACAUUGAUUGGAGUGAACAGAUACGUGGAAAUCAAAGAUCGAAAUCAGAAGAUUGCAACUUACAAUGAGGAACAACUUUGCGAGGAAGAAAAGUACAACGGAAGAGAACUAUGCUCAGAAAAUUUCAACGUGAAUUUUGCAUUCCGGGCAGACGAACUCGAGCAACAUUAUCCAAUGUGGAUAGUGAACCAGGAAAACCUCGGCUGGUGAGAAAAGAUUAAGCAAGGCGCUUUUAGUCAACAACGAGAAACUCUUUAAUUGAAAUGAUUAAACUUUGAUUGGAAAAAACUAACCGAGUUAUAGAAGGAAAAAAUAUUUACUGAUCAACUGGCUAGCGUGACUGUUCUUGAUGACUACUAGAUGAU